rnacentral:rRNA from 1 species
UGCAAGUCGAACGAUGAAGCCCAGCUUGCUGGGUGGAUUAGUGGCGAACGGGUGAGUAACACGUGAGUAACCUGCCCUUGACUCUGGGAUAAGCGCUGGAAACGGCGUCUAAUACCGGAUAUGAGCUUCCACCGCAUGGUGAGUUGCUGGAAAGAAUUUCGGUCAAGGAUGGACUCGCGGCCUAUCAGGUAGUUGGUGAGGUAACGGCUCACCAAGCCGACGACGGGUAGCCGGCCUGAGAGGGUGACCGGCCACACUGGGACUGAGACACGGCCCAGACUCCUACGGGAGGCAGCAGUGGGGAAUAUUGCACAAUGGGCGCAAGCCUGAUGCAGCAACGCCGCGUGAGGGACGAAGGCCUUCGGGUCGUAAACCUCUUUUAGCAGGGAAGAAGCGAAAGUGACGGUACCUGCAGAAAAAGCACCGGCUAACUACGUGCCAGCAGCCGCGGUAAUACGUAGGGUGCGAGCGUUAUCCGGAAUUAUUGGGCGUAAAGAG